rnacentral:rRNA from 1 species
UUUAUCUUAGUGGCGGACGGGUGAGUAACGCGUGGGUAACCUGCCCUGUACAGGGGGAUAACACUUAGAAAUAGGUGCUAAAACCGCAUAAGCGCACAGUACCGCAUGGUACAGUGUGAAAAACUCCGGUGGUACAGGAUGGACCCGCGUCUGAUUAGCUGGUUGGAGGGGUAACGGCCCACCAGGCGACGAUCAGUAGCCGGCCUGAGAGGGUGAACGGCCACAUUGGGACUGAGACACGGCCCAAACUCCUACGGGAGGCAGCAG